GACAGAGGGGGCAAGCGUUGUCCGGAUUGACUGGGCGUAAAGGGCCCGCAGGUGGUUUGGCACGUGUGGCGUGAAAUCGGACGGCUUAACCGUCCGCCGCCGUCGCAUACGGCCUCACUCGAGCGUUGCAGAGGUGCGUGGAAUUGCCGGUGUAGUGGUGAAAUGCGUAGAGAUCGGCAGGAACACCAAGGGGGAAGCCAGCGCACUGGGCAACUGCUGACACUCAGGGGCGAGAGCGUGGGGAGCGAACCGG
rnacentral:rRNA from 1 species